GUGGUAAAAAUCAAAGUAGUUUUAUUAUUUUUCGAUUUUGUUGUUUUCAUAAGAAAACUUUUAUUUAUCAAAAUCUCUCCUACAGAAGACGGAGUUUCAGAAAUUUUAGGUCGACUUGAAGCUCUUCUCCUGGGCAAAAUACUUCUAACCACUUAUUCAUAUAAAUAAUUCUUACUUACUUCAGGACAUCUAAUAUCAUUGAUAAUUAACGGACGACGACUGCUGUACUCUGAGCAGUGAAUUGAUAACUCAAGUGCCAUUCAAGCUGAUGCAUUAAGCGCUAGGAUCUGCUGAUCGAAAUAAAAGAAAUCUAAAGA